rnacentral:rRNA from 1 species
UACAGAGGGUGCAAGCGUUAAUCGGAAUUACUGGGCGUAAAGCGCACGUAGGCGGUUUUUUAAGUCAGAUGUGAAAGCCCCGGGCUCAACCUGGGAAUUGCAUUUGAAACUGGGGAACUAGAGUGUGUGAGAGGGGGGUAGAAUUCCAAGUGUAGCGGUGAAAUGCGUAGAGAUUUGGAGGAAUACCAGUGGCGAAGGCGGCCCCCUGGCACAACACUGACGCUCAGGUGCGAAAGCGUGGGGAUCAAACAGG